rnacentral:misc_RNA from 1 species
GAUGAAGAACGUAGCGAAAUGCGAUAAGUAAUGUGAAUUGCAGAAUUCAGUGAAUCAUCGAAUCUUUGAACGCACCUUGCGCCCUUUGGCCAUUCCGAAGGGCAUGCCUGUUUGAGUAUCAUGAACACUUCAACUCUUCAUGGUUUUCCAUGAUGAGCUUGGACUUUGGGGGUCUUGCUGGCCUGUGGGUCGGCUCCUCUCAAAUGAAUCAGCUUGCCGGUUUUUGGUGGGCAUCACAGGUGUGAUAACUAUCUACGCUUGUGGUUUUCCACCAGGGUAACCUUCAGCAGUGGAGGUUCACUGGAGCUUACAAAUGUCUCUCCUCUGUGAGGACAGCCCUUUGAAUGUUUGAUCUCAAAUCAGGUAGGACUACCCGCUGAACUUAAGCAUAUCAAUAAGCGGAGGA